rnacentral:rRNA from 1 species
GCUUAACACAUGCAAGUCGAGCGGAGUGAUGGUGCUUGCACUAUCCUUAGCGGCGGACGGGUGAGUAAUGCUUAGGAAUCUGCCUAUUAGUGGGGGACAACAUUUCGAAAGGAAUGCUAAUACCGCAUACGUCCUACGGGAGAAAGCAGGGGAUCUUCGGACCUUGCGCUAAUAGAUGAGCCUAAGUCGGAUUAGCUAGUUGGUGGGGUAAAGGCCUACCAAGGCGACGAUCUGUAGCGGGUCUGAGAGGAUGAUCCGCCACACUGGGACUGAGACACGGCCCAGACUCCUACGGGAGGCAGCAGUGGGGAAUAUUGGACAAUGGGCGCAAGCCUGAUCCAGCCAUGCC